AGCAGCCGCGGUAAUUCCAGCUCCAAUAGCGUAUAUUAAAGUUGUUGCAGUUAAAAAGCUCGUAGUUGAAUUUCGGGGUUAGCAGGUCGGUCGUGCCAAUGGUAUGCACUGGCUCGCUGACUCCUCCUUCUUGUAGAACCGUAAUGCCAUUAAUUUGGUGUUGCGGGGAAACAGGACUGUUACUUUGAAAAAAUUAGAGUGUUUAAAGCAGGCCAACGCCUGAAUACAUUAGCAUGGAAUAAUGAAAUAGGACGUUCGAACCUAUUUUGUUGGUUUCUAGGAUCGACGUAAUGAUUAAUAGGGAUAGUUGGGGGCAUUAGUAUUCAAUUGUUAGAGGUGAAAUUCUUGGAUUUAUUGAAGACUAACUACUGCGAAAGCAUUUGCCAAGGAUGUUUUCAUUAAUCAAGAACGAAAGUUAGGGGAUCGAAGACGAUCAGAUACCGUCGUAGUCUUAACCAUAAACUAUGCCGACUAGGGAUCGGAUGAUGUUAAUUUUAUAAUGACUCA
rnacentral:rRNA from 1 species